AUUGAACGCUGGCGGCAGGCCUAACACAUGCAAGUCGAACGAGUGGCGGACGGUUGCGUAAUGUCUGGGAAACUGCCUGAUGGAGGGGGAUAACUACUGGAAACGGUAGAUAAUACCGCAUACAAUCGGAUGUGCCCAGAUGGGAUUAGCUAGUAGGUGGGGUAAAGGCUCACCUAGUCGACGAUCUCUAGCUGGCUUGAUAGGAUGACCAGCCACACUGGAACUGAGCCACGGUCCAGACUGCUACGGGAGGCAGCAGUGGGGAAUAUUGCAGAAUGGGCGCGAGCCUGAUGCAGCCAUGCCGCUUGUAUUAAGAAGGCCUUCGGUUUGUAAAGUACUUUCAGCGGGGAGGCGGGACCCGCAGAAGAAGCACCGGCUAACUCCGUGCCAGCAGCCGCGGUAAUAC
rnacentral:rRNA from 1 species